rnacentral:rRNA from 1 species
CUACGGGGGCAGCAGUGGGGAAUUUUGGACAAUGGGCGCAAGCCUGAUCCAGCUAUCCCGCGUGUGGGAUGAAGGCCCUCGGGUUGUAAACCACUUUUGUAGAGAACGAAAAGACACCUUCGAAUAAAGGGUGUUGCUGACGGUACUCUAAGAAUAAGCACCGGCUAACUACGUGCCAGCAGCCGCGGUAAUACGUAGGGUGCGAGCGUUAAUCGGAAUUACUGGGCGUAAAGGGUGCGCAGGCGGUUGAGUAAGACAGAUGUGAAAUCCCCGAGCUUAACUCGGGGAUGGCAUAUGUGACUGCU